rnacentral:rRNA from 1 species
GUGCCAGCCGCCGCGGUAAGACAGAGGGGGCAAGCGUUGUCCGGAUUUACUGGGCGUACAGCGCGCGCAGGCGGUCGUGUAGGUACCUGGUGACAGUCUCGGGCUCAACUCGAGGGGGUCUGGGUAGACCGCGCGACUGGAGGCAGGGAGAGGGAUGUGGAAUACCCGGUGGAGCGGUGAAAUGCGUAGAGAUCGGGUGGAACACCAGUGGCGAAGGCGGCAUCCUGGCCCUGACCUGACGCUGAGGCGCGAGAGCGUGGGGAGCAAACGGGAUUAGAUACCCGUGUAGUCC